GGUUAUUACUCAUUUUUGUACUUGCUGUUUCAUUUUCCAGUUAUUUCUUCAAUUGAUUGAGAGAAAGAAAACAAAUUCUCUUAUUCCAUUCAGAAGGAUAUCAUGCUCAUAAUUAUCUAUGACUGUUUAUGUCUCUAGCACGACCACUUGAUGAAAUGUGGAGGGAAGUGGGGAAAUGGCCGAUACUACCGGAAGGAUUC
rnacentral:lncRNA from 1 species